AUUGUAUUUGAUUUUUUUUGAAGCAAGGAUUGGAUUUUUGUGGUCACGAUGAAUCAGAAAGUUCAACUAAUCAAGUGAAGGCCCUUGCCCCUUAUACCAGUAUACUCGAUGAUGGAUUUCAGCUUUUAAACAGGAUGGCCUCUCAAG